rnacentral:tRNA from 1 species
GAUUAUUUAGUUUAUUAAAAACAAAUGUUUUGAAAACAUUAAAAAAGAAAAUUUCUUAGUAAUCG